rnacentral:rRNA from 1 species
CAGCCGCCACGGUAAUACGAAGGGUGCAAGCGUUAAUCGGAAUUACUGGGCGUAAAGCGCACGUAGGCGGCUUGGUAAGUUAGAGGUGAAAGCCCGGAGCUCAACUCCGGAAUUGCCUUUAAGACUGCCGAGCUAGUAGGUGAGAGAGGUAAGUGGAAUUCCGAGUGUAGAGGUGAAAUUCGUAGAUAUUCGGAAGAACACCAGUGGCGAAGGCGGCUUACUGGCUCAUUCUAGACGCUGAGGUGCGAAAGCGUGGGGAGCAAACAGGAUUAGAUACCCCGGUAGUCCCUGUCUCUUAUAC